rnacentral:piRNA from 1 species
UCCGUAAGAAAAAGGUCCCUGGGGCUGGA